rnacentral:lncRNA from 1 species
AUGCGAGGCCCGCGCCGCUCCUCUCCUCGCCCUGGCAAACCCAGUGCCAGGCUGGGAAACCGCAAAGUGCCGGAGAAAGAGCCCCGCAGGGACGUGCGGAAAAGGGGAGAUUUUCAGCCCGACGCCAUCCCAGCCUCGUAUCCCCUUCCUGAGCAUCGCCGCCUCUCACAAGGUGUCGGAGCCGCGUGGGGAAGCUGCUGCGUCCUUAAAAGCUGGAGGCUGCUCCGCGCCAGGUAUCAAAUGAAAAGAAUUGCCAUGAAUGCUAAUGGCCGGGGAAGCGCCUCGCUCGCUCGGGAGGACGCUGCGGGGCCGGGAGCCGCGGGCACAGCCCGGAUUUUGCAGGCAGGAGCCGGCCGUGCAGAGGGCGAUGCGACUGCGGAUACCCUGGCACACGGCUCCUGGACCAGCGUGUGCUGAGCUGCCACACCAAAACCAUUCCUUUUGCAGCAAAGCAGAGCCGGGGGGAUGCGUUGUCCCCUCCCAGGUCCCCGUGAUGACUUUUGCAGCACACCCAGGGCUCGGAGCAUGCAAGCCCCACGUAUAACCAGGUCCUUGCAGGCGGCGGCGAAGGGCUGUGCCAGGCUGAGCUGUUUGUAAAUGUAGCCGGUCUGGUAAGCAGGAGGGUAAACACGGAUGAAUAGCCUUCAUCCACUCCAGUAAAUAUUUUAUAUCACACACCAAGAAAAAACACUCCUAUUUAAAUGAUUUAUAAAGGAAGAUCAUGUAGAGGUUUCUAUAAAAUAUGUAGGGCUCCUAAUCCCGACAUCAUCAAGCAAAGAGGACUGAAAUCAUAUAUUACCUUUUCAACAGCCUUGCAGGCUGCAGGGAUACAACUGACAAAUAAAAGUGUGUUUACAGCUUUUGGGCUCCUCCGGGGAGAGGUAAAUCACAGCGGGGGUGGGGAAGGGGAAAGGAAGCCGGAAAUUAAGAGGCAAUUUCUGUCCGUCACAGGGCGCGGGGCAGAGGGACACCGGGAUCGCUGCGCCCCCGGAUCGCUGCGCCCCGGCAUCCCCAGUCCUGACCAGUUCAUCCCCAGUUCAUCCCCAGAAGGAUAAACACAAUCUGCAACCCCCUCCAGGGCACCCAGCGCAGCACCUCAGCUCAAAGCAAGCGAGACCAUGCCCUGCUCCCUUGGCAGCAGGACUAGCCCGACUGCAGCCGUCAGGGAUGGAUUCUACCCGGGCACCAGCAGACCCAGGAUGCGUCCCACGGGGACACGUCCCUUUUAACCUUGGGCCCUCUCCUCUCUCCCCCACACCUCCGCAGGAUGCUCCCCAUCUCCCCACCUCUCCCCUUCCUCGCUUUGGGCUCGUUUGGCUGCCAGCUGCACCCCGGAGCGCCCCGGUUCCCGUGGG